UGGGGGAUAUUGCACAAUGGGCGAAAGCCUGAUGCAGCGACGCCGCGUGGGGGAUGAAGGCCUUCGGGUUGUAAACUUCUUUUGCUCUGAACAAGGCAUGCUAAUGGGUGUGUUGAGUGUAGGGGUUGAUUAGCGCCGGCUAACUACGUGCCAGCAGCCGCGGUACUACGUAGGGCGCGAGCGUUGUCCGGAAUUAUUGGGCGUAAAGGGCUUGUAGGUGGCUGGUUGCGUCUGUCGUGAAAGCUCAUGGCUUAACUGUGGGUUUGCGGUGGGUACGGGCUGGCUUGAGUGCAGUAGGGGAGGGUGGAAUUCCUGGUGUAGCGGUGAAAUGCGCAGAUAUCAGGAGGAAUACCGGUGGCGAAGGCGGGUCUCUGGGCUGUUACUGACACUGAGGAGCGAAAGCAUGGGGAGCGAACAGG
rnacentral:rRNA from 1 species